rnacentral:rRNA from 1 species
CCUACGGGAGGCAGCAGUGGGGAAUAUUGGACAAUGGGGGCAACCCUGAUCCAGCCAUGCCGCGUGUGUGAAGAAGGCCCUCGGGUUGUAAAGCACUUUCAGUGAGGAAGAACGCCUGGUGGUUAAUACCCAUCAGGAAAGACAUCACUCACAGAAGAAGCACCGGCUAACUCCGUGCCAGCAGCCGCGGUAAUACGGAGGGUGCGAGCGUUAAUCGGAAUUACUGGGCGUAAAGCGCGCGUAGGUGGCUUGAUAAGCCGGUUGUGAAAGCCCCGGGCUCAACCUGGGAACGGCAUCCGGAACUGUCAAGCUAGAGUGCAGGAGAGGAAGGUAGGAUUCCCGGUGUAGCGGGGAAAUGCGGAGAGAUCGGGAGGAAUACCAGUGGCGAAGGCGGCCUUCUGGACUGACACUGACACUGAGGUGCGAAAGCGUGGGUAGCAAACGGGAUUAGAUACCCGAGUAGUC